UAAAGGGAGUAAAAAAGUGUAAUUGAGGAGAAGGAUUUGUCGGAACUCAGUGACUUUGUCUCAAUGAUUUCUGUCUUUGGUCACAUCAGUUUCCUUAUCUUCCUCAGGCAACUUAAGUUGCUUCAUUUACUUCUUCAAUUUUUUCUCCCUUUGCCUUUUUUCCAUUUAGUUUCUCUUUUUGCUUUCUUAUUUCUCUGUUCAAAUUUUAUUGAUUGAACAUACUUUUGACGUUUCUUUUAUCUUUCCCGAGGAUAUCAAAAUAUUUUUGUUCACUAGCUACGAUAAUAUUAACAAAGGAGUAUCAUAAUUAAAAAUUCGUAAUUCGUAGAAGAUGAUGACACGUCUACAUACUAAUUAGUUUUCUUGAUGUUGUAAUAUCAGAAUUUACAAUUAAAUUUGAUAACAGAAAUUUUAUAACCAAGAGUUUUGGAGUCGAAACCAUGCAUCCCCACUAGCCACUACUUUCGUAAAGUGCUAUUUCUUGGUAUGGUUCAACUUUGAAUCUGGCUUGGUAUCCAAUAACAUUUAGCAAGUAAAAUAACUGGAUCUAUUUACGUUUUAUGGCGCACGUGUGACUUUCCUUUGCCGGCAAGAGGUCUACAAGAAGAUUCAUGCUAGAGGGUCAGAUGAUGCUUUUGCAUAGAUUUAAUAUAUUUUCAGAGGCAUUUUCUAUCCGAUGGGUUCUCUCUUAUCAUCUGACGAUUGCCACAUAUAUCAUUUUGUUAUUUACCAUAACUCCGAUCGACUCUUAAAUUAAAUGAGCAUGCAUUAACAUAGAAUUUCUUGCAACAUAUUUCAGAUAAAACCUUUAACCAUAGACCUAGUAGCCAUAACCUCCAACUCUUAAAAAAUUAUAUGAGUAUAGGUUUUAAGUUUUGUCAAUAGGUAUAUUACAUGUCAAAUGUGUAGUAAAAAUUAAUAUAACCUUCUUGUUUUUGUUUACUUUAUAGACAACAGAAAUUGUAAAUAUAUCAUACAUAUAUGUAUCUAUAGACUAUAGCUACGUCCGUGUGUAUCUUUAUAAAUAUAUAAUUCACGCAAGACACUCUCUCUAUCUUUAUCUCAAACUAUGGAUGAAUGGGAAAGCGUUUCAUGGAUUGAAGAACCACUAAAGUGCCAUGAUCUAGGACACAAAGGCUGUUUCAAGAAGAUGAAGAAGAUGAUCUACAAUUGUUCUGGUUCGUGAUCAACUAUUGACGCUAUCUUAACCUGAGCUUUACUAAUUGGUAUAUUUUCUGUUUGUUUUUUUUUUCUUGACCUUGUAAGACCUUUUCUCUACUCUUUUCUACCUUCUUACUAUUCCUAUCUUCUAGAUUUCUCGAUUCCGUCGAGUUUCUACAUAAUUUGUUUAAUUGUUGUAUACUCUUAGGAUUCAUAUUCCCACUCUUUUAUAUA